rnacentral:rRNA from 1 species
UACGUAGGGUCCGAGCGUUGUCCGGAAUUACUGGGCGUAAAGCGCGUGUAGGCGGAUCGGCAAGUCUGCUGUGAAAGCUCCUGGCUUAACCGGGAGUGGUCGGUGGAAACUGCGGGUCUGGAGGACGGUAGAGGCUGGUGGAAUUCCCGGUGUAGUGGUGAAAUGCGUAGAGAUCGGGAGGAACACCUGUGGCGAAGGCGGCCAGCUGGGCCGGACCUGACGCUGAGACGCGAAGGCGUGGGGAGCGAACGGG